GGGCCGAUGGAAGCAGGUGACCCUGGGCAAGUUUGAACUGCGAGAGGACCUGACCUGGAGGUGUGGUCCGUGAUUGGGAGGGCGAGCAAGGCCUUCCUGCCAUGAUGGACUGUAUCCUCAAACUGCAAACCAAUAAAAAUUCGGGAAGCCACAGAGGUUCAUCCUGAGAAUUCACACGGAAGACCAUGAGAGCUCCGAGAGCAACAGACGAGAAGCAUCCUUAGAUAACUGGAGAUAAAGAAGAAAUAUGACUUGAUCACCUUCCCCUCUCCAGACCUCCCAAGGAGAAGAAAGUCCUUGAGAAUCCAUCUUGUCAUUUAAGGCCGUUCUUCUCCCCAACUCCCAAGCAUACUGGUGUCAGGCAAUUUAUUGUUAGGGUUCAGUUUCACAUUAGUUACACUCUUACACACACACACACACACACACACACACACACAUACUUUUUUUUUUUGGUUUUUCAAGACAGUUGCUCUGUGUAACAGUCCUGGAUGUUUUAUAACUCACUUUGUAAAGCUGGCUGGUCUCGAACUCACAGAGAUUUACCUGCCUCUACCUCCCAAGUGCUAGGAUUAAAGGGGUGUGCCACCACCACCCAGCCACACACACACACACACACACACACACACACACACACACUUUUAUUCCCUGAACACUAAUGACUAUCACUCUUAUUUUUCCUUCAGUAAGCCAGAAAACUCUUCACAAAGAAAUACAGCGAGAAGAAAAAGAUCAUCCAAAAUCCUCUUCCUGACCAUUUUCAUAGGCAUUUUUCUUAAAGCAGCUUACAUACUGAAUUCCAUGUUAGUAUGAGUGUCUUCACUUUCUUCAUAUAUAGAAAAUAUAACUUUCUUAUUCAGGGCUUAGUAGGUUUCCACCCAGCCCAUCACUGGCUCAGGUCCUACAUGAAUAUUUGUUGAAUGGGCAAAUGAACAGUAACUGAAACCAGAGCUGUUACAGACCUGAAACACCUGUUAAGACCUGAACCCACCACUCUAGUGACGAUGUCCUCUGAUGUCGGUUAGGCCUUUCUAACUUGAGAAGACUGUCUUUUUAUUUUCAGCAUAUAUGGUACUGAUCCAAAAGUUGGGAAACACUGUGUAACUGUUAUUAUAAGAGCAACACACACACUUGGAAGGCAGAGGCACUCCAAGUCUCUGGGAUUUGGAGGCCAGCCUGGGCUACAUACUGAGUUUCCAGGAUAGCUGAGUCUACAUAAUGAGACCUUAUCUCAAAAAAAUACAUAAAUAAACCAAAACAAUUUAACAAGAGCAAUUUCCAUGGUUUAUCAGGCUGUCCUGGUUUGUUUUUGUCCAAACAAAAUUCAGAGUCAUGCACUUUGGAAUUCGAUCUUAGAGCUGAUUAUAACCUAGAAACGGCAGGCAGCUCCCAGAAACAUUUAGAACACCUGUGUUAGCUGAGGGAGCAGGAACUACAGAUAAAAUUCCUUUUAUCUGUGCUAGAUAGAGCCAUAAUUGCCCAUCUCAGCGUUUAUUCUAGAAUGAAGAACUUUAAUUAUCUAAAUUUAUGUGUGUUUGUAUAUAAUUAGUUAAAAACAAAAUUUUAAAAGUUAAGCAAGUACUUACUGCAAUUUUCUAAGUGCACAGUAUUUCAAAACAAGUUGCAUAAGAAAUAAACUUCAUGGUCACUGCAAUAAAAAAAUUAAAGUAUGA